GACGAAGGAUGCAAGCGUUAUCCGGAUUCAUUGGGUUUAAAGGGAGCGUAGGUGGCCUUAUAAGUCAGUGGUGAAAUCUCGCAGCUUAACUGCGAAAUUGCCAUUGAUACUGUAGGGCUUGAGUAUAGUUGCCGUUGGCGGAAUAUGACAUGUAGUGGUGAAAUACAUAGAUAUGACAUAGAACACCGAUAGCGAAGGCAGCUUGCUACACAGUUAUUGACACUGAGGCACGAAAGCGUGGGGAGCAAACAGG
rnacentral:rRNA from 1 species